AUCCAGCUGACCGAUCCCAAAUAGAACGAAACGCGUGUCCUGAAU
rfam:Schistosoma mansoni, Puerto Rico, WGS project CABG01000000 data, contig: 0244